CUUUAUAAAAACCGGACUGGUUAUGAAAAACGCCAUUUAUUUCUGUAAAUAGUAUGACAGAGAAACACACGAAUAAAAGCUAACAAAAAGGUACAAGGUUUAUAAUCUAAUACGGCAGAGGUGCGUUUCUUCCACAUAAGACUAACCAGUGAUGCUCAGAUGAUAAAGGUUCAAAAGCCAAAACAAGUACGAAGUUGAAAGCACUAAGGACCAAAAGUUUCAUGUGUAAAUCUCUCUCAACUGAUGUGAUACUCCAGAAGUUUAAUUGUCACGUAUUGAGUCAGACACUUUGGUUUCAUAAAGAAGACAGACCUUGUGGGGAUGAUUCAUUAUAUAACUGGAUUAUUACAAGAAUACCGGCUCACUGAAGAAUCAUGUGUAAAAACUAAAAUUAUAUUAUGUAGUGUAAAAAAUUGUUUUACUGACACUAGUUCUAUUAGUUGAUAAUCAGUUCCUUUUAUACAAUUCAACCUGUCCAGUUUCAAGUUUUAUAUUGACAAGAUUGAAUUUUUUAUGUCUAUUAAUUUCAGAUCUUUCAAAUAGUGUAUUUGUAUUGAAUCGGAAGUUAACUCUCUAGGUUCAGACUGACAUUAUAUGUUUAAACACGUUUCAUCUAUGUCCUUUAGAAUUUUAGUUCCUGGUUUCAAAUUUGGAUUUUCAAACCUCUUGGUCUGGAACUAUAAUUGUUAGUAUGUUGCACUUUUGUGAAUAUAAACAAAUUGAAACACAACUAUACAGAUCACAUUUUAUUUGAGAUUUGACAAUGAACUUAUAUUAGACAACAAUAUGAUCUGGGAGGGUCCCUUUCAUAACAUUUCAUAAUUAAAUUUGCAAACAUAGGUCUAAUAGUAUCAUACUGAGAGGCUAUUAAAUCUAUUAUAACUGCUCAUCCAAGUAUAAUAAGCUUUAUAGAAGAUAGCAA